rnacentral:rRNA from 1 species
GACGAACGCUGGCGGCGUGCUUAACACAUGCAAGUCGAACGGAAAGGCCCUGCUUUUGUGGGGUGCUCGAGUGGCGAACGGGUGAGUAACACGUGAGUAACCUGCCCUUGACUUUGGGAUAACUUCAGGAAACUGGGGCUAAUACCGGAUAGUAGCUCCUGCUGCAUGGUGGGGGUUGGAAAGUUUCGGCGGUUGGGGAUGGACUCGCGGCUUAUCAGCUUGUUGGUGGGGUAGUGGCUUACCACGGCUUUGACGGGUAGCCGGCCUGAGAGGGUGACCGGCCACAUUGGGACUGAGAUACGGCCCAGACUCCUACGGGAGGCAGCAGUGGGGAAUAUUGCACAAUGGGCGGAAGCCUGAUGCAGCAACGCCGCGUGCGGGAUGACGGCCUUCGGGUUGUAAACCGCUUUCGCCUGUGACGAAGCGUGAGUGACGGUAAUGGGUAAAGAAGCACCGGCUAACUACGUG